rnacentral:rRNA from 1 species
UACGUAGGGGGCAAGCGUUGUCCGGAAUCAUUGGGCGUAAAGCGCGCGUAGGCGGCCCGGUAAGUCCGCUGUGAAAGUCGGGGGCUCAACCCUCGGAUGCCGGUGGAUACUGUCGGGCUUGAGUACGGAAGAGGCGAGUGGAAUUCCUGGUGUAGCGGUGAAAUGCGCAGAUAUCAGGAGGAACACCAAUUGCGAAGGCAGCUCGCUGGGACGUUACUGACGCUGAGACGCGAAAGCGUGGGGAGCAAACGGG